rnacentral:rRNA from 1 species
CAAUAGCGUAUAUUAAAGUUGUUGCAGUUAAAAAGCUCGUAGUUGGAUUUCUGAUCGAGACAUCAGGUCGGGUCCGAGAGGAUCAUGUACUUUGAUUUUGUUUUGAUCAUCCUUGGGGAGAGCAUUUCUGGCAUUCAGUUGUCGGGAUUGGGAUCCUCAUCGUUUACUGUGAAAAAAUUAGAGUGUUCAAAGCAGGCCUCGGCCUCUGAAUACAUUAGCAUGGAAUAAUAAGAUAGGACUUUGGUGGUCUAUUUUGUUGGUUUGCACGCCAAAGUAAUGAUUAAUAGGGAUAGUUGGGGGUAUUCGUAUCCAAUUGUCAGAGGUGAAAUUCUUGGAUUUAUGGAAGACGAACUACUGCGAAAGCAUUUACCAAGGAUGUUUUCAUUAA